GUGCUUGCUUCAGCAGCACAUAUGCUAAAAUUGGAAUGAUACAGAGAAGAUUAGAAUGGCCCCUGUGCAAGGAUGACAUGCAAAUUUGUGAAGCGUUCCAUAUUUUU
ensembl:snRNA U6 U6 spliceosomal RNA